AUUGAACGCUGGCGGCAGGCUUAACACAUGCAAGUCGAGCGGAGAGAAGUAGCUUGCUACUGAUCUUAGCGGCGGACGGGUGAGUAAUGCUUAGGAAUCUGCCUAUUAGUGGGGGACAACAUUUCGAAAGGAAUGCUAAUACCGCAUACGUCCUACGGGAGAAAGCGGGGGAUCUUCGGACCUGGCGCUAAUAGAUGAGCCUAAGUCGGAUUAGCUAGUUGGUGGGGUAAAGGCCUACCAAGGCGACGAUCUGUAGCGGGUCUGAGAGGAUGAUCCGCCACACUGGGACUGAGACACGGCCCAGACUCCUACGGGAGGCAGCAGUGGGGAAUAUUGGACAAUGGGCGGAAGCCUGAUCCAGCCAUGCCGCGUGUGUGAAGAAGGCCUUAUGGUUGUAAAGCACUUUAAGCGAGGAGGAGGCUACUUUAGUUAAUACCUAGAGAUAGUGGACGUUACUCGCAGAAUAAGCACCGGCUAACUCUGUGCCAGCAGCCGCAGUAACAC
rnacentral:rRNA from 1 species